UGGGGAAUAUUGGACAAUGGGCGCAAGCCUGAUCCAGCCAUACCGCGUGGGUGAAGAAGGCCUUCGGGUUGUAAAGCCCUUUUGUUGGGAAAGAAAAGCAGUCAGCUAAUACCCGAUUGUUCUGACGGUACCCAAAGAAUAAGCACCGGCUAACUUCGUGCCAGCAGCCGCGGUAAUACGAAGGGUGCAAGCGUUACUCGGAAUUACUGGGCGUAAAGCGUGCGUAGGUGGUUUGUUAAGUCUGCUGUGAAAGCCCUGGGCUCAACCUGGGAAUUGCAGUGGAUACUGGCUAACUAGAAUGUGGCAGAGGGUAGCGGAAUUCCUGGUGCAGCAGUGAAAUGCGUAGAGAUCGGGAGGAACAUCCGUGGCGAAGGCGGCUACCUGGGCCAACAUUGACACUGAGGCACGAAAGCGUGGGGAGCAAACAGGAUUAGAUACCCUGGUAGUCCACGCCCUAAACGAUGCGAACUGGAUGUUGGGUGCAAUUUGGCACGCAGUAUCGAAGCUAACGCGANAAGUUCGCCGCCUGGGGAGUACGGUCGCAAGACUG
rnacentral:rRNA from 1 species